rnacentral:lncRNA from 1 species
AACAAAUGCAAAUUGUGGACUAACAGUUUUAACCAAUAUAAUCUUUUUAAAAAGCUAAUUUAAAUAACAGCAUAUGUCUGAAAUAAACAUGUACUACUUCAAAAUUAUAUUUUAGAAAUAAGAUUUUAUCCACUUUUAGGAAGAGUCUACAGUCCAUGUAGGCCGCAUGUUGAAAGAAAAUCACUGUCUUGUUGCACUACACAUGUGUAAGCAUGAUAUAAAAAACAGUGGUAUACAACAGUUAUGUGAUGCACUGUAUCUGAACAGUAGCCUGCGCUACCUUGAUGUCAGCUGGUAAGUGAUAAUUUACACAUUAAUAAUUCAAAGUUAAAUAAUGGGAAUAAUCUAUAUAAAUAUUCAUGGUACUUGGGAUACGUUGUUAGACAUUAUUUCCAAUGAUUAGAAACUGCAACCAAUUGUCAAUCCUUUGUCCUAAGCUUUAAUAUUUAAUACUGCUAUCUUUUAGUAACAUAAAUGAGCAAUUUAGUUGUGUAAACAAGAAUGAAAGCAAUAUUUUAUGGUGAAUUUUCAUUAACUUUCUUGGAAAUCAAGUGGUUAAAAUAAACCUUUACUAAAACA